rnacentral:tRNA from 1 species
GCCUUAGUGGCUUAGUUGGUUAAGUGUCUGACUUUGGCUCAGAUCAUGAUCUUGUGGUAUGUGAGUUCGAGCCCCACGUCAGGUU